rnacentral:rRNA from 1 species
UGGGGAAUAUUGCGCAAUGGGCGAAAGCCUGACGCAGCGACGCCGCGUGAGGGAUGAAGGUCCUCGGAUCGUAAACCUCUGUCAGGGGGGAAGAAGCGCCUGUGAGCAAAUAGUUCAUGGGUUUGACGGUACCCAAGCAAGAACCGGCUAACUCCGUGCCAGCAGCCGCGGUAAUACGGAGGGUGCGAGCGUUAAUCGGAAUCACUGGGCGUAAAGCGCACGUAGGUGGCGUGGUAAGUCGGGGCUGAAUCCACAGCUCAACUGUGGAACUGCCUUCGAUACUGUCAUGCUUGAGUAUCGGAGAGGGUGGCGGAAUUCCAGGUGUAGGAGUGAAAUCCGUAGAUAUCUGGAAGAACACCGGUGCGAAGGCGGCCACCUGGACGAAAACUGACGCUGAGGUGCGAAAGCGUGGGGUAGCAAACAGGAUUAGAUACC